UUCGAUGAUCGCGAAGACGGAGGAGGUGUGUGCGCUGCUUCCUCCAGUAUUGCCUUGUGGUUUGAGGGUGGGAGCUGACGGAACCAAUCAGAGGGACGAGGAGGGUGAUCAUUUGCCCCUGUAUGCCAACGAGGUCCGUCGCAUGUUGAUUUCGAUCUGGAACGCAUUGAUCCAUCGAAAAUCCAAAUGCAUAUUGUUUUGAAUCCGAGGCCUAUAAUGACGUGCGCGUACAUAAUAAUCUCUCGGUCCUUCGCGACCCGGCGACGCAACCGGGAAUCCAAAGACGCGGAGGAGGAGGAAUAGAGAGCGCGAUGGGUCUGCAGGUAGAUUUUGAAGAAUAUGCUGCAAAAGCUAAAACGUUACCUGUAAAUACUACUAAGAAGAGCAAAUUGUUCCUGUAUGGGCUUUACUACCAAGCGACUGUCGGACCAGUGAAUACUAGAAUGUGCUCCUUAAUAUAUUCUGAUUCGUUAUUUUCAAUCUUUGCCAAACAAAAUUUUGACACUUUUAUCUUUUGUUUCUUUGCAGGUUGACCUGGUAUAUUCAAUAUGAGGGAUAGAGCCAAAUGAGAAGCUUGGAAGGCUGUUGAAGGGGAGGAAGCCAAAGGAGGAGGCUAUGAGUGACUACCUCACCAAGGUUAAACAGCUGCUCGAGGCAGCUGCUACUGCUGCUUAUGCUACUUUGUCACGCCUUGCUCAAUGUAGUACCAUUGUUUCAUUCGAGUUAAGAUGCAUGCGGAUGUCAAGUUUUUAGGUCAGCAAAGCUAAGUGUGGGCAUGUUGAAUGAGCAUUACCUGCAGCCCAUAUAUUUAGUGAAGCUUUAUUGAUUCCCGUUUGUUGGUGAUGGUGUGUUCUUUGCGGAGCUUAGUGACGUCCUCACAAGAACCACUGAGCUGUGGACGGGUACUCCAGUGUUGAGGUCAGCAUCGGUGAUCAUUAUUAGAGCCGCCAGGACCCUGAAUGUACUUGAUAUCGAUCUCCAAUCUAUGUUAAGCCUUGGUGGUACACCCGAUUUGGACUUCGUAUCAUAAUUGUGUAUGGUGAGAAGGGGAGAAGGAUAUUGGAGUUGACUUCUGUGGUCCAGUAAAGAUUCAACUUUUUGGAAAAUGGUGUGGAGCUCUACACCGAAGGUCAACAACAGAGGGCUUUGUGCAAUUGCUUGGGCUAUCUUUCUGGUACAAGCUUCUCGGAGGAGUGUCAUUCCUUCUUAACAUGGAGGAGAAGGGAGCAUAGGAGAGGAGAGCAAAGUGAGAGUGAAGCGCUUAUAUGUUUGUAAUGAUAGAUACGGCUGUUGGAUCGUUUCUUGAACAGAAUCCAAAUCUAAAUCCUGUGUUUCCUAAAGCCCCAAGAUUAAUUAAUUAAUUAAUUAAUUAGGUUUAUAUGUUUAAUUUGAUAUAUAUAUUUAUUUCGAAAUCAAGUUUCCCUAUUUCUCUCCUGUCUUAUUUUUCUCUAUCCUUCCAUCCAUAGUGUCUCCGAGAUUCUCUAUUCCUAACUCUCAAUUGAACUCAAGUUUGAAUUCGUGGCAUACUCUCUGAAUGAGGUGGAUUAUUUUGUGUGUAACAUGCAUAGAGACUCCAGUAAAUGCCAGUUCUUAGAUCAUGGCAUGAUUCUGUUCAACUCAAGCUUGAAAUGACAUGCAUAACUGAUCUUGGAAGAACAGCAAACAAAGAUAAUUUCUGAUGGUAACUGGGAUAAGUAGUUUAUGGUAGAAAAUUUUUCAAUGAAACUAUUCUGAUGACGGCAGCAAAAUGAUUGUUACAGUCAAAAUUUUGAUGAAGUCAUUAAGUCAUUGCAAUUGGAUUCUUGGUUUUUUCUUCAUUUAUAACGGUUGCCAAUGCCUGUGUGUUUUUGCUGCAACUUCAAGCAUUAUGAUUUUGUUGCUGCUGCAUGGUUGACUGCAGUAGGAAUUUGUCUCAUACACAUGUUGAAAGCAUCAAGAACAAUUUUCGUCAAACUGUGUUCUUAACUUUUUUUAUUGUUUGAAUCCAAACUCUCCUUUUCAAGUAUCUUGCCUUCUUGAUCACCUCUCUGGAUGCUGAUGAGCUUAAACUCUGCAAUAAGAAUAAUUUGGCUUGGCUAAGUUUAAAUGCUUGAGGAGAGGGAAAAACUCAAAAUAUCUUUCUUUUUCUUCUAUUUUGCUUUAUUUCUACAUCACUAGUGCCACAUGAUGAAGGAGAUGACUUUUUGUUCUUCCUAUUUGAUACUUUUGUUCCUGAAUUCUUUCUACAUCUCUAGUGCGGCAUGAUUACUUUAAUAGAGCUUGGUUUCCUCGCAAUGCUCAUAUAGAUACUUGCCUAUUGACAACUUCAACUAGAAAUGCUUGUCUGGUCGGUUAUACCUAAAUGCUUCGAAUUUUUUAUUGUACUAACCUUGUUUGUGCUGAAAUUUAGAUGGAUAAAUUUAUUGACUUUCUAAACAGUAAUAAAAACACAGAUAUACCUGGAGAAAUAUAUAUAUAUAUAUUCAAGUGCUUAAUGAUCCAUUUUAACUGACCUUUUGCUUUUAA